ensembl:lncRNA
GACUUCAGACAGCACUGUAUCCCAGCAUGCAUCUCUGCUCACUCAGACCACACCCCCGUGAGUAGGAUGCAACACUCUAGUGAUAGCGAUGUAGAGUUUUAUAAGUAACGAGGGAGCAGACUAAGGUGAUUAGAACCCAAUGCAAUGUCAAGUCUGUAAAUCUUUAAACCAUGAAGAUGGUUGGAUAGUUCAGGAAUUGGGCUUCUUUUUAUUAUGGGCAGUCCUUUCACUCAGAUGCCCACUUCUCACUGGAGCUGUACAUGUGUUGGCUGGCAUGAUUUGCUGUUGGUGAUGAGGCGGUCAGGGUGACGUUGCAGGGCUAUGGUCAGCUCUCUGUGAGCUCAACGUUUAGAUUUGCUCUGUAUUGUUUGUACCCUGAAUAAUCUAGAUAAUUGUAAAAUGUAGACACGGUUUUGUAUUGAAUGAUUUUAGGUUUAAAGUUGUUGUGGGACGUACAUGGUAGUUUGGUUCUUCGUAUGGUUUUGAUUGAUAUAACUUGUACACACUGGGUGCAUAAUAAUGUAAAUGUACACUGAAUAGUAGAAAUGACCAACAGCAACAAACAGAUCUCCUCAAGGUAAGUCUGUUGGCUGUAUUUUAAUGAAGACCAUCGCUGGACUUCAGGAUCUUCCUCCGUUCAGCUCAAGGUGAGGCGCUGGUUCUGUUUUUCUUUGGUUGGUUCCGGCCGGAAUGUUCGUAUUCCAGUCGGACGGUUUGUGCUUCCCGCCGUGGAAGGUUCUGAGUGCGGUCACGCGAUUUAGUCCCAAUGGUUGGCAUAGAACGUUGUAGUCUUGACAACCAUAAGAAACCACCUGGCAGUUAGUUGGACGGGAGUCCCCUGAGGGAAUCUGGCGGACUGUUUUGGAUUGUAUUUGCGUAACCUCGAGCCGUUGCCCAUUUUUCAGUCGGUUUCCAUUGGGAAUUGUUGCCCCUAUCUUAAACAAAUUAAGUUUGAUAUUAAAUACUUACUCACACGUACGUCGUACAAUAUGUUGAUAAUUUCCGAUGGUUGCGCCGUACUUUAACCACGAUGACGUGACGGGACUCUCACUGCGUACAAAACAGCGUUCUACUUGCGGGCCCAUUUUUUUACAUCAGGGAAGGCUGAAAAUCAUUUCAAGGUGGAAGAUAAUUUGACAUUUCUUCAACGGAACCCAGCACCUGAAUAUGGUUGAGUAUAUUUGAUUUAAAUAUCGAUACUGCUUAGUGUUCUUUGUUACUUCAGCUUUUGUAGGUUCUAAAUAUCUGCUGUCAUUAAUUGCCACAGAAGUUAAACCCUAUCCAAUGGAAUAACGUUAAACAACGACUUUGGUGCAGAGUUAACAACUGGAUAAUAUAAAAGCUAAAAUAAUGGCUAAGUCAUUCCCACGUUACAGUAGAAUAUACUUUAGAACUGUACAAGGUUAAAAAGGUAACAUGUAGUUUGUCCCAAGGUGUCUGCCUCCUCACCCAGAGCCAGACCUCCACCUCCUCACCCAGAGCCAGACCUCCACCUCCUCACCCAGAGCCAGACCUCCACCUCCUCACCCAGAGCCAGACCUCCACCUCCUGUCAGAAGUUCUCCAGAACAGGUCAGUUCUCUGUGUGAGUAGUCUUCUCAGGUCAGUUUCAAUGCAUUGCCUUAACCACUUCUUUAAACUUGUGGACUGCUCUGUCUUCAUUCCCGAAAACGGGAUGCUCAUGUCUGGUCUCAAGUCUUUUUUGGCCUUGAGUUAUAAAAUAAUAGUUCAAAUAAUUGUAACUUGGUUUCGGAUGAGUCAAAUAAGUUUAUUGUUGGGCAAAUACUGAUGUAAACCUGCUGCUGUAGCGGAAAGGCCUGGCUGAGAGGCUGGGGUCCGGAGGCUUGUGGUGCCAGGGUGGACCGGAGACUGAGGCUGGAGACCAGGGGCCUGCAGCACCGGACCAGAGGGUAACCAUCACCAAGCUCAUCUGAAACACUAAAAUCCAAAGUCGUGCUGAAGGCCCUGCCUUGUGGAGGAGCUGGUGGAGGCCCUGCCUGGUGAAGGACGUCUGUCGUGGGACCAGGACUCUGUCUGAGGAGAGCUGCUGGAGGAGCUGAGACGCUGGAGGACGACUAGGAAUCGACCAACAAGGAUUCCUCAGCGGAGGCGAGCUGGUAGGGGAGCCGUGAAUCUGGAGGAUGACCAUCACUCUACCAACAAGGAUUACCAGGACUCUGGCUGAGGAGAGCUGAUGGAGGAGCCAAGACUCGAGCCAAGAGGACGACAUCACUCCACCAACCAGGAUCCUCACCAGGAAUCUGGAGGACUGAUGGAGAAGCCGUACAUCUGGAAGGCAAAUCCUGAGGACCACCAGGACUCUACCAUCAAGGAUUCCUCAUAAGUUUGCAUUAUCUGGACAUAGUGGACUAGACCCACCUGAGCUGAACCUCACCUGAUCCUGUUUGGUCGGGGGUAGACACACCUGAGCUAAACCCGCCCUGAUCCUGACAUCCUGCUGGUCCCGUCUCCUCAGUUCAUCUAAGCCUCGUCCUCCAGAAGACCUGCUGAGCUCAGCAGUCUGAGGCUGAUGGAUCAAUGACCUCCAGUGGGAGUGAUCUUCUUGACCCCACAUGUAACCGUGUGCUUCCACACGCCUUUCCCUGACGUCUGUCACUAACCUCACUACUCUCUACUGCUUCCUCUUUUCUUCCUUCUCUGUGGUUCACACCGUUACACUGAAGGCGCGUCUUCCUGCCCUCAGAGGGUUUAGCGUUAGGGUUGAGAGUCAGGGUUUAGAGUCAGGGACAGAGCUGGUUAGGGAGGACUGCUUUUACACAAACCUCUUCACUUGCUUUUCGGAAUGGUGGUGACAUUUUGAAAAGAUUCAUUUGAGAAAAUGUUUUCCUCUGCUUUCCUUUACAAAAUUGUAUUAAACUUCUGUCAAGUGUUUUUGUUUAUAUAUUAAAAUCCCACAUUGACUUCUACAUGUUUGGUGCGGUUCAUUUCUUACUAGAACGUGUUUCUGGAGCGGAGGCGAGCUGGUAGGGGAGCCGUGACUCUGGAGGAUGACCAUCACUCUAACAACAAGACUUUAGGGCCAGACUCGCGCUGUUUGUUCCAGACCAGGACUCUGGCUGAGGAGAGCUGAUGGAGGAGCCAAGACUCGAGCCAAGAGGACGACAUCACUCCACCAACCAGGAUCCUCACCAGGAAUCUGGAGGACUGAUGGAGAAGCCGUACAUCUGGAAGGCAAAUCCUGAGGACCACCAGGACUCUACCAUCAAGGAUUCCUCAUAAGUUUGCAUUUUCUGGACAUAGUGGACUAGACGCACCUGAGCUGAACCUCACCUGAUCCUGUUUGGUCGAGGGUAGACACACCUGAGCUAAACCCGCCCUGAUCCUGACAUCCUGCUGGUCCCGUCUCCUCAGUUCAUCUAAGCCUCGUCCUCCAGAAGACCUGCUGAGCUCAGCAGUCUGAGGCUGAUGGAUCAAUGACCUCCAGUGGGAGUGAUCUUCUUGACCCCACAUGUAACCGUGUGCUUCCACACGCCUUUCCCUCACGUCUGUCACUAACCUCACUACUUCACUACUAUCUACUGCUUCCUCUUUUCUUCCUUCUCUGUGGUUCAAACCGUUACACCGUCUAGUCUUCCUGCCCUCAGAGGGUUUAGCGUUAGGGUUGAGAGUCAGGGUUUAGAGUCAGGGACAGAGCUGGUUAGGGAGGACUGCUUUUACACAAACCUCUUCACUUGCUUUUCGGAAUGGUGGUGACAUUUUGAAAAGAUUCAUUUGAGAAAAUGUUUUCCUCUGCUUUCCUUUACAAAAUUGUAUCAAACUUCUGUCAAGUGUUUUUGUUUAUAUAUUAAAAUCCCACAUUGACUUCUA